GAUGAACGCUGGCGGCGUGCUUAACACAUGCAAGUCGAACGAUGAACCGGGUGCUUGCACUCGGGGAUUAGUGGCGAACGGGUGAGUAACACGUGAGCAACCUGCCCCUGACUCUGGGAUAAGCGCUGGAAACGGCGUCUAAUACUGGAUAUGUCCCGUCACCGCAUGGUGUGCGGGUGGAAAGAUUUUUCGGUUGGGGAUGGGCUCGCGGCCUAUCAGCUUGUUGGUGAGGUAAUGGCUCACCAAGGCGUCGACGGGUAGCCGGCCUGAGAGGGUGACCGGCCACACUGGGACUGAGACACGGCCCAGACUCCUACGGGAGGCAGCAGUGGGGAAUAUUGCACAAUGGGCGGAAGCCUGAUGCAGCAACGCCGCGUGAGGGGUGACGGCCUUCGGGUUGUAAACCUCUUUUAGCAGGGAAGAAGCGAGAGUGACGGUACCUGCAGAAAAAGCACCGGCUAACUGCGUGCCAGCCGCCGCCGUAA
rnacentral:rRNA from 1 species